rnacentral:rRNA from 1 species
UACGUAGGGUGCAAGCGUUGUCCGGAAUUAUUGGGCGUAAAGAGCGUGUAGGCGGCCAUGUAGGUCCGUUGUGAAAACUCGAGGCUCAACCUCGAGACGUCGAUGGAAACCAUAUGGCUAGAGUCCGGAAGAGGAGAGUGGAAUUCCUGGUGUAGCGGUGAAAUGCGCAGAUAUCAGGAAGAACACCCGUGGCUAAGGCGGCUCUCUAGUACGGUACUGACGCUGAGACGCGAAAGCGUGGGGAGCGAACAGG